GGGAUGCUAAGUUGAGUGGACUAUUUCACUUUCGAUGCCGCGAUUCUCCAAAAAUAAACUUUUGAAGAAUCCGAAAGCACCCAUUGACAUUUUAGAAUAGUCCGAGUAACAUAGAUGGGAUGUAGCCAAAAUUCAAUCUUUCAUUUUGACAAUUUCCCAAGUAGUAGGCAUUAGCAGGCAGCACCUAAAAUUCGACCUUUCAUUUCCCAUUUUUCC
rnacentral:misc_RNA from 1 species